rnacentral:rRNA from 1 species
UACGGAGGAUGCGAGCGUUAUCCGGAUUUAUUGGGUUUAAAGGGUGCGUAGGCGGCCGGGUAAGUCAGCGGUGAAAUUUUGCAGCUUAACUGUAACAGUGCCGUUGAUACUGCAUGGCUAGGAUUUGGUUGCUGUGGGUGGAAUGUGUGGUGUAGCGGUGAAAUGCUUAGAUAUCACACAGAAUAUCGAUUGCGAAGGCAGCUCACAAAGCCAAGAUUGACGCUGAGGCACGAAAGUGUGGGGAUCAAACAGGA